rnacentral:rRNA from 1 species
AAGUCGUAACAAGGUCUCCGUAGGUGAACCUGCGGAGGGAUCAUUACAAGAACGCCCGGGCUUCGGCCUGGUUAUUCGUAACCCUUUGUUGUCCGACUCUGUUGCCUCCGGGGCGACCCUGCCUUCGGGCGGGGGCUCCGGGUGGACACUUCAAACUCUUGCGUAACUUUGCAGUCUGAGUAAACUUAAUUAAUAAAUUAAAACUUUUAACAACGGAUCUCUUGGUUCUGGCAUCGAUGAAGAACGCAGCGAAAUGCGAUAAGUAAUGUGAAUUGCAGAAUUCAGUGAAUCAUCGAAUCUUUGAACGCACAUUGCGCCCCCUGGUAUUCCGGGGGGCAUGCCUGUUCGAGCGUCAUUUCACCACUCAAGCCUCGCUUGGUAUUGGGCAACGCGGUCCGCCGCGUGCCUCAAAUCGUCCGGCUGGGUCUUCUGUCCCCUAAGCGUUGUGGAAACUAUUCGCUAAAGGGUGUUCGGGAGGCUACGCCGUAAAACAACCCCAUUUCUAAGGUUGACCUCGGAUCAGGUAGGGAUACCCGCUGAACUUAA